rnacentral:rRNA from 1 species
UACGGGGGGGGCAAGCGUUGUUCGGAAUUACUGGGCGUAAAGGGCUCGUAGGCGGCCAACUAAGUCGGAUGUGAAAUCCCCAGGCUUAACCUGGGAACUGCAUCCGAUACUGGAUGGCUUGAAUCCGGGAGAGGGAUGCAGAAUUCCAGGUGUAGCGGUGAAAUGCGCAGAUAUCAGGAGGAACACCAAUGGCGAAGGCAGCUCGCUGGGACGUGACUGACGCUGAGACGCGAAAGCGUGGGGAGCAAACAGG